rnacentral:rRNA from 1 species
UUGCCAGACUCCUACGGGAGGCAGCAGUGGGGGAUAUUGCACAAUGGGGGGAACCCUGAUGCAGCGACGCCGCGUGAGCGAUGAAGUAUUUCGGUAUGUAAAGCUCUAUCAGCAGGGAAGAAAAUGACGGUACCUGACUAAGAAGCCCCGGCUAACUACGUGCCAGCAGCCGCGGUAAUACGUAGGGGGCAAGCGUUAUCCGGAUUUACUGGGUGUAAAGGGAGCGUAGACGGCUGUGCAAGCCAGAUGUGAAAGCCCGGGGCUCAACCCCGGGACUGCAUUUGGAACUGCGUGGCUUGAGUGUCGGAGAGGCAGGCGGAAUUCCUAGUGUAGCGGUGAAAUGCGUAGAUAUCAGGAGGAACACCGGCGGCGAAGGCGGCCUGCUGGACCGUGACUGACGUUGAGGCUCGAGAGCGUGGGGAGCAAACAGGAUUAGAUACCCGAGUAGA